GUUGAAAUAGCUCAGUGGGAGAGCGUUAGACUUAAGAUCUUGAGGUCCUGAUUUCAAAUCUCACAAGGAGACCCUACG
rnacentral:tRNA from 1 species